GGGUGAGUAACGCGUGGGUGACCUACCCUUUGGAGGGGGAUAAGCCGGGGAAACCCGGUCCAAAACCGCAUAAGGCCACCUGAAGGGGGAAAGCUUGGGCGCCGAAGGAGGGGCCCGCGUCCGAUUAGCUAGUUGGUGAGGUAACGGCUUACCAAGGCAACGAUCGGUAACCGGUCUGAGAGGAUGGACGGUCACACUGGGACUGAGACACGGCCCAGACUCCUACGGGAGGCAGCAGUGGGGAAUCUUGGGCAAUGGGCGAAAGCCUGACCCAGCGACGCCGCGUGGAGGACGAAGGCCCUCGGGUCGUAAACUCCUGUUCUUGGGGAAGACGGUACCCAAGGAGCAAGCCCCGGCUAACUCCGUGCCAGCAGCCGCGGUAAUACGGGGGGGGCAAGCGUUGUUCGGAAUUACUGGGCGUAAAGGGUGCGUAGGCGGCCUAUGCAGUCUGAGGUGAAAGUCCCCGGCUCAACCGGGGGA
rnacentral:rRNA from 1 species